rnacentral:rRNA from 1 species
CAAGUCGAACGAGAAAGUGGAGCAAUCCAUGAGUAAAGUGGCGACCGGGUGAGUAACACGUGACUAACCUACCCUAGAGUGGGGGAUAACCUCGGGAAACCGGGGCUAAUACCGCAUAACAUCGCAAGGGGAAGCUCCUUGCGAUCAAAGAAGCAAUUCGCUCAAGGAGGGGGUCGCGCGGCUGAUUAGCUAGUUGGUGAGGUAACGGCCCACCAAGGCGAAGAUCAGUAGCCGGCCUGUCGAACUGAGAGGGCGCACGGCCACACUGGAACUGAAACACGGUCCAGACUCCUACGGGAGGCAGCAGUGGGGAAUUUUGCGCAAUGGGGGAAACCCUGACGCAGCAACGCCGCGUGGAGGAUGAAGUCCCUUGGGAUGUAAACUCCUUUCGAUCGGGACGAUUAUGACGGUACCGGAAGAAGAAGCACCGGCUAACUCUGUGCCAGCAGCCGCGGUAAUACAGAGGGUGCAAGCGUUGUUCGGAAUUAUUGGGCGUAAAGGGCGCGUAGGCGGUGCGGUAAGUCUGUGGUGAAAUCUCCGGGCUCAACUCGGAAAUUGCCGCGGGGACUGCCGUGCUGGAGUGUGGGAGAGGUGAGUGGAAUUCCCGGUGUAGCGGUGAAAUGCGUAGAU